AAUUUAGGACAAUGGGGGAAACCCUGAUCCAGCCAUCCCGCGUGUAUGAUGAAGGCCUGCGGGUUGUAAAGUACUUUGGGCAGAGCAGAAAAGGUAUCUCCUAAUACGAGAUACCGUUGACGGUACCUGCAGAUUAAGCAUCUGCUAACUACCUGCCAGCAGCCGCGGUAAUACGUAGCGUGCAAGCUUUAACCGGAAUUACUGGGCGUAUAGCGUGUGUAGGCGGUUCGGAAAGAAAGAUGUGAAGUCCCAGGGCUCAACCUUGGAACUGCAUUUUUAACUGCCGAGCUAGAGUAUGUGAGAGGGGGGUAGAAUUCCACGUGUAGCAGUGAAAUGCGUAGAUAUGUGGAGGAAUACCGAUGGCGAAGGCAGCCCCCUGGGAUAAUACUGACGCUCAGACAAGAAAGCGUGGGGAGCAAACA
rnacentral:rRNA from 1 species